GUGCUCGCUUCAGCAGCACAUAUACUAAAAUUGGAAAGAUACAGAGAUUAGCAUGGCCCCUGUGCAAAGAUGACACGCAAAUUCGUGAAGCGUUCCGUAUUUUU
rnacentral:snRNA from 1 species